AAGUACCUACCACGCCACCCGCUACCUGCAAUAAUCCAUCUGAAGAGGUCGCCGGGCAGCGGCUCGGCAGACAGACUGACCUGCGGGGAGGUGCGGUUUCCAGUGGCGCGGGACAGCCGGCUCCGAGAAGGAACUGGGACCUUUGCCUAGGGCAAGACGUCAACAGGAACCCGCAGGCCCGGCCUGGACACCUGCUGCCCUCACUGGAAGCUUUAACUCCCACUCGAGUCUCUUGGCGUCGUCAGUGCCAGGAGCGCUUGGAUUGGGAUGGGGACGAAGAAAGGUGCCUCGCUCGCCGAGCCCCGCUGCACUUGGGGAACUGGCAAAGUCGAGGUUUCCUCACAGCGUUGAGAUUGAGACUGGGGGUCGGCAGCACUGAGAAGUGAAGGAAUAUUUGGGAGGAUCAGAAGCUUGGUCCUGAUUUUGCCAUCAACAGGAACUUGAUGACUUCAAGGGAGUCCCCAAACCCUGGGUUUCUGUUUUCUCAACUCUAACAUGAGGGGCUAGAUGCAUCUGGUUUAGUUAGUCUCCAUGAUGGUUUAGUUCGUCUCCAUGAUCCUGUGAAUUUCAGAUGUUGAAAAUCUUUGGAAAAGCCCUGAAAGAUGAACAGUGGUCUCAAAUAGUCAAGACCCCCUGCUGGGAGGAGCUAUCCUGCUCUUUGGAAGAAAUGGGCAUGCCAGAUGCCUGGAAGAUCAGAGGCUCACAUUCCAGCACCGUUCACAAUAGCAAGGACAUGGAAUCAACCUAAGAGCCCAUCAACAGUGGAUUGGAGAGAGAAAAUGAGGUACAAAUACACCAUGGAAUACCAUGCAGCCAUAAAAAAGAAUGAAAUCAUGUCCUUUCGCAACAUGGAUGGAGGUG
rnacentral:antisense_RNA from 1 species